rnacentral:rRNA from 1 species
GAUGAACGCUGGCGGCGUGCUUAACACAUGCAAGUCGAACGAAGCACCUCUCCCGAAGAUUGACACAGCUUGCUGUAGAUUGAUUCAUUUGAGGUGACUGAGUGGCGGACGGGUGAGUAACGCGUGGGUAACCUGCCUCAUAGAGGGGGACAACAGUUGGAAACGACUGCUAAUACCGCAUAGUAAGAAGAAUUCGCAUGUUUUCUGCUUGAAAGAUUUAUCGCUAUGAGAUGGACCCGCGUCUGAUUAGCUAGUUGGUAAGGUAACGGCUUACCAAGGCGACGAUCAGUAGCCGGCUUGAGAGAGUGAGCGGCCACAUUGGGACUGAGACACGGCCCAGACUCCUACGGGAGGCAGCAGUGGGGAAUAUUGCCCAAUGGGGUAAGCCCUGAUGCCGCGACGCCGCGUGAGUGAAGAAGUAUUUCGGUAUGUAAAGCUCUAUCAGCAGGGAAGAUAAUGACGGUACCUGACUAAGAAGCCCCGGCUAACUACGUG